UUGAAUCAGUUUACCUUCAAGCCUUCUUUUAAGGAUAACAGAAAUACAAGAAGUACCUUGAUCAAUUAUUUUUAAUAGUAUUUUAGAAAUGACAGAGAGAAAAUGAGGGAGAGAAAAAAACCCGUAGGUACUUAAGGGUCUGUUUUUCGCAGGGCCUGGUCUGUAACUUUGAGUGCUCCCUUCUGGGUAGCUCCAGGGUUUACGGUUUCUGUCACCAUCAGUCCCCUGUUCUUUACCUGCCUCACCCUCUUGGAGAAAGCCUUUCUCCACACUUUUUGGGGGGAACUUCCCAAAUCUGUCAGUGCAUAUUAAAAACCUGUUACCACCUAACAAUGUAUUUAAAGUAUUUGUUCUGUUACAAUGUCCAUGCAUUGCUUGAAUUUUAAUUGUGCCUGAGGAUCAAUGAUUAUAAGAGCUGCAGGGAAGACAGUGCCUUACCUGAACAGUGAUCCAUGAUGAUUUACUCAAAGCCAUUAAAAAUCUAUUGCCUUUGGAAUGGGUCAGCACUGAGAACUAUGUCUUGUCACUUAUGACGGUGCAUGAUAAUGGGAGAAAAAAGAAUGUGUACAUGGAUGUGUAACUGGGUCACCCUGCUGGACAGUAGGAAGAAAAUUGUAUUGGGGAAAUAACAAUUACAAAAAUAGUUUCAGUGAUGCUAAAAAUAAUGAUCAUAAAUAGACCAUGAGAUAAUAAGUAUGGAGGGCUGGCUGUAUCCAGGCCUAGGUUUUGUGUGUGGCCCCUGUUUUGAGCCUCAUAGCAGCCUUGGGACAUAGGUGCUGGGUUGUUUUAAUUACACACACGAAAAACCAAGGCACAGAGGGGUUUAUUAACUGGCCCAAGAGCACACAGCCAGUGGAAUCCUGUGCCAUUAUUUCAGCCCCCAUCUGCUGUCACGCAGCCUGUGCUGUGAGACACCAGAUGCUGCCAGUAUAUUCAUCACAAGAGAAUGUCUUUUUUGUCUCGGGAUUGACAUUCCAGCUCUGUCACUUACUAUCCGUGUGGUUUGGGAAAAUCAGUUUGGCCCCUCUGAGAGUCCAGUUUCCUCCGCUGCUACCUGCAGGAAAUUAAUAGCCCUGGCCUGCAAAGGCCCUUUGGGGGAUCUAGAAGUUACACACGACCCAUCACUUCUCAGGUGUUGGCUGCUGCUGCUCUCCAUGUACAGAGAACUCCGAGGUUCAAAGGUCUCAGGCUUGCCACUUUGAUAGGACACAGACGCUGGCUCCUUUUCAAUUGGAGCUAUUUCAGCUUCUUGUUUAUAGCAUGAUUUGAGCACAGGCUCCUGAAUUUUCAUGUUGUUGUGUUUUUUUUUUUUAAGUCCUAGAAGAGGAUUUUUUUUUCUUUUUUUUUUAGGGAAAUAAACACCUUUUUCUUUUUUUUAAAAAAAAAAAGUCAAUUUCCUUCUUUUUUGCAUUUUAUUUUAUUUCUUUAAAGAUUUUUAUUUUUUCUAUUAGAGUUGAAUGUUCUGCCAAGGGGGAGGGGAAAAUAAACACUUUUGAUUUUACAAUAUUGAGUUCAUUCAUAGUAUCACCCAUAGAUUCUUCUAAAAAUACGAUCAAUUUCUAUAUUAAACAAAAUCUUUUACAACAUUGUUUAGAGACAUUUGCCUAUAAAUGAGGGCUUUUUGAGAUUUUGUUAAAAGUUGCCAUCCGCUCUGGGUUGGAGCUUUUGGAAACGGUAUUUGUUCAUUAUUUCCUAGAACAAAUUAAAUUUUCAGGCCAUUUCUUUAUUUAUGGUUUGUCUUUAUUCUCUAUCACUGUUGAUUUAUUACAGCAACAAAGUAAAGAACAAUUUUAUGGUUCUGUCAGUGAUGCCAAAAAGGCAUUUGUUCAAAUUCAGCAGUCACAGUAAAACCAACCAACCAACCAAGCAGCCAGAACAACACCACAUAGGACUAAGUAAACUAGAGAGAGAAGGGAACUCUUCUAAUAUCGUCAAGGAUGUUUUUAAACAUCUCCUCCAAAUGUUUUAAACAGUGGGAAAGCACUAAAUUGUGCUUUCCACUUAAAUCAGAAACUAGAGGAGUUCCCUAGUAGCCUAGUGAUAAGGAGCAGGUGUUUGUUGUCACUGCCGUGGUGAGGGUUUGAUCCCUGGCCCGGGAACUUCUGCCUGCUGUGGAUGUGAACAAAAAUUAAAAAAGAAAAAAGACAUCAGAAACUAGAUAAGGAUGUUCACUCAGUCCCAUCAGUAUUCAUAUUGCUUUGGAAGUUUCAGCAGAUAUAAUAUUAAAAAAAAAAAAAAAGACUUGAGUAAUGGGAAUAAACAAAAUGUCCUUCAUUUUAACAUGACCUAAUUUUACUCAGCUAAAAUAUUGUAGUGAGAAUUCCUAGCAAUAAGAUAAUUUGAAGAGUUGGUUAGACAUAAAGUAAAUAUACACAAAUCAAUUGAUUUUCUCUAUAUUAGCAGUAAUUAAGGAUGGAGAUAGGAAAAAAAAAAAGCUCCAUUCAAAAUAUUAACCAUGAGGUUCCUGCUGUGGCUCAGUGGAAACGAAUCUGACACGCAUCUGUGAGGACACAGGUUUGAUCUUUGGCCUUGCUCAGGGAGUUAAAGAUCCAGCAUUGCCGUGAGCUGUGGUGUAGGUGGCAGACGAGGCUCGGGCCCCACGUUGCUGUGGCUGUGGUGUAGGCCGGCAGCUACAGCUGUGAUUUCACCCCUAGCCUGGGAAGCUCCAUAUACUGCAGGUGUGGCUCUAAAAAG
ensembl:lncRNA